rnacentral:tRNA from 1 species
GCUCUCGUAGUUCAAUGGAUAGAAUUCAAGUUUGCGGUACUUGCGAUGCAGGUUCGAUUCCUGCCGAGAGCACAA